CAAGUAGCUGGGAUUACAGGCAUGUGCUAUCACGCUCAGUUAAUUUUGUAUUUUUAGUAGAGACGGGGUUUCUUCAUGUUGGUCAGGCUGGUGUUUAACCCCUGACCCCAGGUGAUUUGUCCGCCUCGGCCUCCCAAAGUGUUGAGAUUACAGGCGUGAGUCCCCACACCUGGCCUCUUCUGAAGUUUUAAUCUGAAUUUUUUCCCUCCUUUGCAUCUUUAGCCUCUUAGCAAUGCAUACCACGAGUUAGCACAAGUGUAUUCAACCAACAACCCCUCAGAACUCCGAAACCUGGUGAAUAAGCACAGUGAAACCUUCACUCGCGAUAACAACAUGGGGCUGGUGAAGCAAUGCUUGUCAUCUCUUUAUAAGAAGAAUAUUCAGAGGCUAACAAAGACCUUUUUAACUCUAUCAUUACAAGAUAUGGCAAGUCGUGUGCAGUUGUCUGGACCUCA
rnacentral:lncRNA from 10 species